UACGUAGGGCGCAAGCGUUGUCCGGAAUUAUUGGGCGUAAAGAGCUCGUAGGCGGCCUGUUACGUCUGCUGUGAAAUCCCGGGGCUUAACCCCGGGCGUGCAGUGGAUACGGGCAGGCUGGAGGCAGGCAGGGGAGAACGGAAUUCCUGGUGUAGCGGUGAAAUGCGCAGAUAUCAGGAGGAACACCGGUGGCGAAGGCGGUUCUCUGGGCAUUACCUGACGCUGAGGAGCGAAAGUGUGGGGAGCGAACAGG
rnacentral:rRNA from 1 species